GUGUUCCUGAUGUGGAGGAAUGUCGUUCAUUAAGCUCCCUUGAUUUUUCUUCAAAUUGCAGUGAUAGCUAUGUUAGUGAUAGGAAUAAUAGCGAUAGCGAAAUUUUAAAAGUGAUAAAAAAUAAUUCAUUUAGUUUAGAAUUAAAAGCUUGGGCUUUAAGAAAUAGGGUAUCCCAUAAUACAGUAACCGAUCUUCUGCAAACGUUGCGAAAAAUAGGUUGCACAGAUUUACCUCUAACGGCUAAAAGUCUCCUAGGUACCAGCCGAAAAAAAGUAAAUAUUCAAACGAUUCCAAGUGGAACUUUUUUAUAUAGAGGAAAUCAAAAUCAUUUUGAGAGAAAUUCAUUUCCUCAACUUGAAAAUGAAAAUAAUAUUGUGCUAGAUUUUUCUAUUCCACAUGAAGGCAAGUUUCUUCUAAUUCCGAUUUUACUUCAUCUAUUUCAUGAAUUUUCAAAUUAGUACCGCUGUAAUUAUUGUAUCCCGGUGGUAUUUUAUUAUAUUAUGUUAAGUUAUUUAAAAUGAAUUUUGAUGCUGCCCAAUUUUUAUUUCUUAAUCAGAUGGAUUCACCAGCGCUUUAUGAUGACACCUAUUUGGAGGAAUGCCGAACAACUUCUUCGACUCCCGUAAAAGAACAAUUGACAUUUAAAUGGAAGAAGUUCAACAUUUCUGGUUGCUACAACUCAGAGGCAAGCUUCUCAAAACAACAAGGAAACAAAUUGCCUGUGGAUGGAAAUGAUGUUUUUAACAUGUUAAAAACUAUUUCCACCCAACUACAAAAGUUGUCAUCUGUACACUGACGAAUUCCUGACUUUGUGUAACUGGGACGGUAGGGGAGGCAAGCAACCGCUAUCAGAGUUUCUGUUGUCCAACAUAUAAUAUGGUAAAUUUUAUACAUACAUAUUUACCUAAAAAGAUGUAUUUUAAAUUGAUUUUUCAUUACAUUUUCUAUAGAUUCUUUCAUCACUUGUGGACUUGCAAAUUUCGAGCAACAAAUGCGGAAGUCCAUCGAAAUGAGCCACCAUAGA